rnacentral:misc_RNA from 1 species
AAAGUCGUAACAAGGUUUCCGUAGGUGAACCUGCGGAAGGAUCAUUACAGAGUAUCAUGCCCUCACGGGUAGAUCUCCACCCUUGAAUAACAUACCUUUGUUGCUUUGGCAGGACGCACUCGUGCCAGGGGCUUCGGCUCUUGAGUGCCUGCCAGAGGACCACAACUCUUGUUUUUAGUGAUGUCUGAGUACUAUAUAAUAGUUAAAACUUUCAACAACGGAUCUCUUGGUUCUG